rnacentral:rRNA from 1 species
GAUGAACGCUGGCGGCGUGCCUAAUACAUGCAAGUCGAGCGAACGGACGAGAAGCUUGCUUCUCUGAUGUUAGCGGCGGACGGGUGAGUAACACGUGGAUAACCUACCUAUAAGACUGGGAUAACUUCGGGGAACCGGAGCUAAUACCGGCUAAUAUUUUGAACCGCAUGGUUCAAAAGUGAAAGACGGUCUUGCUGUCACUUAUAGAUGGAUCCGCGCUGCAUUAGCUAGUUGGUAAGGUAACGGCUUACCAAGGCAACGAUGCAUAGCCGACCUGAGAGGGUGAUCGGCCACACUGGAACUGAGACACGGUCCAGACUCCUACGGGAGGCAGCAGUAGGGAAUCUUCCGCAAUGGGCGAAAGCCUGACGGAGCAACGCCGCGUGAGUGAUGAAGGUCUUCGGAUCGUAAAACUCUGUUAUUAGGGAAGAACAUAUGUGUAAGUAACUGUGCACAUCUUGACGGUACCUAAUCAGAAAGCCACGGCUAACUACGUG